rnacentral:rRNA from 2 species
UAUCAAUAAGCGGAGGAAAAGAAAUUACCAAGGAUUCCCUUAGUAACUGCGAGUGAAGCGGGAAAAGCUCAAAUUUAAAAUCUGGUAGUCUCUGGCUGCCCGAGUUGUAAUCUGGAGAAGUGUUUUCUGUGCUGGGCCGUGUACAAGUCUCUUGGAAUAGAGCGUCAUAGAGGGUGAGAAUCCCGUCUUUGACACGGACAUCCAGUGCUCUGUGAUGCACUCUCAAAGAGUCGAGUUGUUUGGGAAUGCAGCUCAAAAUGGGUGGUAAAUUCCAUCUAAAGCUAAAUAUUGGCAAGAGACCGAUAGCGAACAAGUACCGUGAGGGAAAGAUGAAAAGAACUUUGGAAAGAGAGUUAAACAGUACGUGAAAUUGUUGAAAGGGAAACGCUUGAAGUCAGUCGCGUCUAGCAAGGAUCAGCCCUUCUCGGAGGGUGUAUUUCUUGCUUGACGGGUCAACAUCAAUUUUGACUACUGGAAAAAGGCCAGGGGAAGGUGGCACCUUCGGGUGUGUUAUAGCCUUUGGUCAUAUACAGUAGUUGGGAUUGAGG